AUGACCACUACCAGCAAGAAGCUCAUUUUGUCCAUCCUCCCCAUCCUAAUUGUAGGGUUUAUACCAGAACUAAGCACCGGUAAUGACCACAGGCAAUUCGCCUACACUGGCUUCACCAACAGCAACCCCACCCUAGACGGCGCAGCUAGAAUCACGUCGACCGGCGUCAUCGAGCUGACAAAUGUUACAGCUCGGAUCAAGGGCCAUGCAGUUUACCCAUCUCCACUGCGCUUCCGCCUGUCUCCUGAUGGCAUGGUGCAGUCCUUCUCUACCUCCUUUGUGUUUGGUAUUCUCUCUUCAUUUGGCGACAUAAGGGGCCAUGGCUUUGCCUUCUUCAUCGGCCCAAGCAAUGAUUUCACUAAUGCUUUUCCAAUCCAAUUUUUGGGGCUUUUCAACUCCAUAAACAAUGGCAGUUCGGUCAACCAAAUCUUUGCAAUUGAGCUUGACACCAUCCAAAAUACUGAGUUUGGGGACAUCGACAACAACCAUGUUGGAAUCGACAUCAACAGCCUCAACUCUUUGAGAUCCAACACAGCUGGUUUCUACAAUAACAAUAAGAAUGGCAUGUUCACAAACCUACCCCUCAUUGGAAGUGGGCCAAUCCAAACUUGGGUUGAGUAUGAUGGAAACACAACACAGAUCAGUGUGACCUUAGCUCCUCUAGGCAUGGAAAAACCUAUGAGGCCACUCGUCUCUUUAACCAUCAACCUCUCCACAGUUCUAAAAGAGGAAUCAUACAUUGGCUUCUCGUCUUCGACAGGCUUAACCACUGGGCAUCACUGUGUUCUUGGAUGGAGUUUUGGCAUGAAUAGUCCUGCUCCAAUAAUCGACUCCACCAAAGUACCCAAACUACCUUAUCUUGGCUAAAGAUCUCCAUCUAAACUCUUAGAGAUCAUUCUACCAAUUGCCUCUGCAGUUUUGGUAUUAGCUAUUGGCACUAUAGCUGUUAUACUUGUGAGGAGACAUCUUAGGUAUAAGGAGGUACACGAAGAUUGGGAAGUUGAGUAUGGUCCACACAGAUUUGUUUACAAAGAUUUAUAUCGUGCCACCAAAGGAUUUAGUUCCAAGAAUUUGAUAGAGAUAGGUGGGGCUUGGAAGGGUGUACAAGGGAGUUCUUCCCACAUCCAAGUCAGAGUUUGCAGUAAAGAGGGUAUCGUAUAGCUCGAAGCAGGGGAUAAAACAAUUUGUUGCUGAAGUGGUAAGUAUGGGGCAUCUUCAACACAACAAUGUUGGGAAAUUAUUUGGGUAUUGUAAGCGAAAAGGUGAACUCCUUCUAGUGUAUGAUUAUAUGGAGAAUGGAAGUCUUGAUAAGUACUUGUGCGGUGAGGAGGGCAGGACCACCUUAGAUUGGGGACAAAGGUUUAAAAUUAUCAAAGGAAUCGCAUCGGGCUUGCUCUACCUUCAUGAGGAAUGGGACAAAGUUGUCAUCCAUCGUGAUGUCAAGCCAAACAAUGUGCUUCUUGAUAAAGAGAUGAAUGGACGACUCGGAGAUUUCGGCCUCGCAAGAUUGUAUGAUCAUGGCACCGGCCCACAAACUACACAUGUUGUUGGCACAAUAGGAUACUUAGCCCCAGAGCUAGUACACAGAGGCAAGGCAACCAAUCUAACUGAUGUGUUUUCCUUUGGCAUUUUCAUUCUUGAGGUUUCCUGUGGAAGAAAGGCAAUGACUGAAGACACCCAAAACCGCCAGGUCAUGUUGGUCGAUUGGGUGAUUCAGAACUGGAAUAAAGAUUCACUCCUUGAUGCAGUGGAUACCAAACUCCAAGGUAACUAUGAUAUUGAUGAGGUUUUCCUAGCAUUGAAGUUAGGGUUGUUGUGCUCUCAUCCAUUUCCAGAUGCAAGACCCAACAUGCGGCAAGUUCUGCAGUAUCUCGAGGGUGAUGUGCCACUAUCAGAGCUACUACCAGCACACUUCAGCUUUCAUAUGUUGGCCUUAAUGAAGAAUGAAGGACGAAUGCCUAGCAUGGUGUGUCUCUUCUUCCUUUCAGAGAUACUCUUCUCCCUGUCCUUAAGCCUAAUAUCUUCCAUCACUGCCACUGGAGAGGAUCAGUUCGUCUACUCCGGCUUCUCCAGGAGUUACCUCAGCCUUGACGGAGCAGCCACUAUUACACCAGACGGCGUCCUUGAGCUGACAAAUCACACAGUUCACAUUAAAGGCCAUGCGUUCUAUCCAACUCCAUGGCGAUUCCGUAAGUCCCCUGGUGAGGUGGUGCAGUCUUUCUCAGUUACCUUUGUGUUCGGCAUGAUCCCCAUCUACUCUGAUCAAUGUACCGACGGAAUGACUUUCUUGAUCUCUCCGACCAAGGAUUUCUCAGGUGCACAGACCUCCCAAUACUUGGGUCUCCUCAACAAAACAAGUGAUGGCAAUAAAAAUAACCAUAUAUUUGCAGUUGAGCUUGAUAGUAGCCAAAAUACGGAGUUCAAUGACAUUGAUGACAACCAUAUCGGCAUCAACAUCAAUAGUCUCACCUCAAAUAAAUCAAGAUCAGCUGCCUUCUAUGAUGACAACAGUGGUAUGUUCAAAAACAUAUCCAUGGUUAGUCGCAAAGAAAUGCAAGUAUGGGUGGACUACGAUGGAGAGACCACACAGAUCAACGUGACAUUGGCUCCGCUAAGAUUGCCCAAACCAUCAAGGCCACUACUGUCAGCUACCUACAACCUAUCCACAGUGCUGGAAGAUCCAUCCUACGUUGGCUUCUCGGCAUCAACUGGUCCAAUCAAUUCACUAUAUUGUGUAACUGGCUGGAGCUUGGGCAUAAACCAUCCAGCUCCCUUGAUUGACAUUACCAAGUUGCCAAAGCUGCCUCAUGUUGGCCCAAAACCUCGGUCCAAGUUGCUUGAGAUCAUCCUACCAAUAGCCACAGCCAUAUUCAUCUUCCUUGUUGGAACAACUGUAAUUCAAUUGGUGCGGAGGAGAAUGAAAUAUGCUGAGAUAAAUGAAGAUUGGGAAGCUGAGUUUGGUCCACACCGCUUCUCAUACAAGGAUUUGUUCUAUGCUACAGAUGGAUUUAAGAAUAAGAAUCUACUCGGCCUAGGAGGAUUUGGGAAGGUGUAUAAAGGUCUGCUCUCUGUCUCAAAAUUGGAGGUUGCUGUAAAGAGAGUGUCCCAUGAGUCAAAGCAGGGAAUGAAGGAGUUUGUUGCUGAGAUUGUCAGUAUUGGCCGGCUCCGACAUCGCAACCUUGUCCAGCUACUCGGUUAUUGCAGAAGAAAAGGUGAACUCCUAUUGGUAUAUGAAUAUAUGUCAAAUGGCAGUCUUGACAAGUAUUUACAUUGUGAAGAGGGCAAACCCACUCUGAAUUGGGCUCAAAGGUUUCAAAUCAUCAAAGGUGUGGCAUCCGGCCUAUUCUACCUCCAUGAGAGGUGGGAGAAAGUUGUAAUUCAUCGAGAUAUCAAGGCAAGCAAUGUGCUCCUUGACAGUGAGAUGAAUGGACGCCUAGGUGACUUUGGUCUUGCAAGACUGUAUGAUCAUGGCACUGAUCCACAAACAACCCAUGUGGUUGGUACAAUGGGGUAUCUAGCCCCAGAACUGGCACGCACCGGUAAGGCAACGACUCAGACAGAUGUCUAUGCAUUUGGCAUUUUCAUUCUUGAAGUAACCUGCGGGCAAAGGCCUAUCAAUAGUCAUGCAGAUGAUAGUUCCCAGAUCUUGGUUGAUUGGGUUGUUGAGCAUUGGCACAAAGGAUCACUCACAUACACACUUGACAGUAGAUUACAAGGCAACUACAACUCUGAUGAGGUCAGGCUGGCAUUAAAUCUUGGUUUGUUGUGUGCACAUCCAUUUUGCAAUGCAAGGCCUAAUAUGCGUCAAGUCAUACAAUACCUUAACGGUGAUAUGCCACUCCCGGAGCUGAUGCCCACAAACAUAAGUUACGGUGUGUUGGGCCUGAUGCUAAAUGAAGGUUUUGACCAAUAUUCAGCAUUGGCGUCCACAGUUGGCAGCAGUUGCAUGACGUCCAGCCUCUCAAGUGGACGAUGAUAAUAGAUAGAUGCCUUACCCAUGGCCAUAUCAUCUUGUAGUUAGUAAGCCUGAUUAAGUUAUGGUAUGGAAUCUACUGUAAUUCUUAUUCCUAGUGUCAUAAUACUUACCUCAGGGAUUCUGAAGCAGAAAAUAAUCUAUCAAGUCUCUGUUUCUUCCUACUUCAUGGUUUUUAUAUGCUUCGAUGCAAGGCUUAUGCUGUCAGAUCUUGUAUACUGUUGUAGAGUCUGUACAUGUCAACUCUUGUAAAUAGUCUUAAAAUGCUGCACUGCACAAAGGAUACUCUAAUAUAUUGAAGACAACAGUUGACAAUUUGACA